GAAUGAACUUGGUGUGGUUGUUGCUGGCCCUUUCGGGGGCAUGUGCACACCCAUCAUCCUCAUCUCUCCACCUGUGCACCUCUUGUAGAUUUGGAUUGACUUUCCGAGGCAACUCGGUCGGGAGGACUUGCUGGCAUUAGCUGGCUUUCCUUGCAUUUCCAAGUCUAUGUUUUUCAUAUACCCCAUUGAAUGUAACAGAAUGUAACAUAUUGGGCCUUUGUGCCUAUAAAAACUUAUACAACUUUCAGCAACGGAUCUCUUGGCUCU
rnacentral:misc_RNA from 1 species